rnacentral:lncRNA from 1 species
ACUCAGUCAAGCUGAUCCUGACUGAGGCCCCCAAACCGGCUAAUUCUGCAUCUGGAAAGGCCUCGGGUUGUCUUGGAUUGGGCUCGAUUGAAUGGAAUUGCAUUGGCUAAGCUGAGCACUUCCCCAUGCAUCUCUGCAGAUCCAGCCUCAGAAGGAGCUCAAAACGGUGGCCAUGGAUGAAGUGUGAUUCCAGGUAGCAUCUGAAAAG